rnacentral:rRNA from 1 species
UACGUAGGGUGCAAGCGUUGUCCGGAAUUAUUGGGCGUAAAGAGCUCGUAGGCGGUUCGUCGCGUCGGCUGUGAAAACCCGGAGCUCAACUCCGGGCCUGCAGUCGAUACGGGCGGACUAGAGUUCGGCAGGGGAGACUGGAAUUCCUGGUGUAGCGGUGAAAUGCGCAGAUAUCAGGAGGAACACCGGUGGCGAAGGCGGGUCUCUAGGCCGAUACUGACGCUGAGGAGCGAAAGCGUGGGGAGCGAACAGG